CUCCAGACUCCUACGGGAGGCAGCAGUGAGGAAUAUUGGUCAAUGGCCGAAGGGCUGAACCAGCCAAGCCGCGUGAAGGAAUAAGGCCCUACGGGUCGUAAACUUCUUUAGUCAGGGAACAAAGGGUGCCACGCGUGGCGCUGUGAGUGUACCUGAAGAAUAAGCAUCGGCUAACUCCGUGCCAGCAGCCGCGGUAAUACGGAGGAUGCGAGCGUUAUCCGGAUUUAUUGGGUUUAAAGGGUGCGUAGGCGGAAUGCCAGGUCGGCGGUAAAAUCGCGGGGCUCACCCCCGCUCCGCCGUUGAAACUGGCGUUCUUGAGUGGGCGAGAAGUAUGCGGAAUGCGUGGUGUAGCGGUGAAAUGCAUAGAUAUUGCGCAGAACUCCGAUUGCGAAGGCAGCAUACCGGCGGCGAUCUGACGCUGAGGCACGAAAGCGUGGGUAUCGAACAGGAUUAGAUACCCUCGUAUCG
rnacentral:rRNA from 1 species